UACGAAGGGGGCUAGCGUUGCUCGGAAUUACUGGGCGUAAAGCGUGCGCAGGCGGUUCGCUGUGUCCUGUGUGAAAGCCCCGGGCUUAACCUGGGAAUGGCAUGGGAAACUGGCGGGCUGGAGUGUGGCAGAGGGGGGUGGAAUUCCGCGUGUAGCAGUGAAAUGCGUAGAGAUGCGGAGGAACACCGAUGGCGAAGGCAGCCCCCUGGGCUAACACUGACGCUCAGGCACGAAAGCGUGGGGAGCAAACAGG
rnacentral:rRNA from 1 species